GGGGAUUUGGGGGUGCUUUGCAGGUGUAUCCGCUGUUCGCGGCCGUAGGUGUUGCUGUCGGAAUCUGCGGGUUUCAGUUGGUGCGAAAUAUCUGCAUCAACCCUGAAGUCAGGUCUUUCUCUCCUUUUCAUAUUUUAAUAUAUUUAUGAUUUUUGUUAUAUAUAAGCUAGUUUGCCUUUUUAUAGGUUUUUUUUUUAAAUAUUCGCUGUGUUUUAUGUUUGAUUUAUAUUCAAUACGAAUAUAGAAUACAAAAUUUCUAAUAUAUAAAACGCUUAUGAUUAUUUCUUAAAUAUAUGGAUAUUUGUUGGAGAUUUAUUAAUAGCACAUUUGAGAUUAAUGUUUUUAUACCUUUCAUACAAAUCAUUGUUGAGAGUUGCUAGCACUCAGCAAAUUCAACAUAUUGUUCUCUUUUUUGGGGGGGGGGGGGUUGCUUCAAAUUUACUGACACUCUUGGUGGUAGAUUCAUAAGGAAGGAGUGCCGAAAUAGAUAAAGUGUCAAAAUUGAAGAGUUUGUGCUUGGUGGUCUUGAUCUACGACCAAUGAGCUAUGGCAUAUUGGUCAAUCACAGGGAGGAUGCUACCACUUGAGUAUAACUUGCAUAUUUCCUCAUACAUGAGGUAUAUGCCAUAGGUAGCUCAAGUAGUAGCUCUUUCUAUAAAUGACCUAUAAUAAAUCGAGUUAAACCAUAUGCAAGCUCUUCAAUUUUCCAGUUGUGUCAGGACUUAUAGGUCAUUGGUAGCUCAAGCUGUGGAAUCGUCUCUAUAAAUGGCCUAUAACAAAUUCGACUUAAACCGUAUGCAGUUUAGGCACUUUGAAGCGCUUCCACUUUUUGAAUCCAUUAGGGAUUUUGAUAGAAUUGGAAGAAAAACCCCAAUCGGAUGGAAUGACCACAAUAGCUUACUUGAAACAUUCAUCUUAUCAUGCAUUGUAAGAAGUUGCUAUACUUGCCAUUGCAUGAUCAAGAAGAUCAAGAGUAAAGGCGACAGAAAUCAAGAAGAAAGCUAGUAUUAUCAUCUUUUUGAAGAACCUAAAUCAGCAUGGGACAAAGAUUUUAGUUGCCUCUCUUGAAAUCUAAAUCAGUAAUAUCUUCGGUUUGAUCAUUAGAUAAGAUCACAUAUCUUUCUCUAAAGAGCUCAUAGCAAAGUAUUACAAAGAGAUAGGACAGAUCAAGGGAUAGGAUAACAUGGUAAGAAUUACAUUAUUUGACGAACUUCGGAUGACUAAAGAAAUUAUACUGAUUCAUAAGAGAGCUAUAUAAUCUAAAUUUCUCCUAGGAUAUGAUUCAAUAUCAUUUCGAUUUCGAGUUCUUUAUAUGUUUGUAUAUUUAUAUGACAUGCAUUAAUCAUUGGCGAUCAUGUAUGAAAGCUAAAUCUAACCAAUUGCAAAAGCAAAACAUUGAACAAUACGAUAUACUUAAAAUAGAAUAACCUACGAUAAUCACUUCCUAUAAUGUCCUCAAUCAUAAAGUUUAGAUUCAAGAAUCAAAUUUGAACAAAUUAGCUAAAUCAUAAAACAUAUCAGCAAGAUAAAGAACCUAUUACCUCAAAAAGAAAAAAAAAAUCAUAUUACUUUAUUUUAAUCUAAAAACAAUUAAAAGAGCAAAGAAAUCCUCACCUUUGCCCGAUGGCCCUGGACUGGACCUUAAACAUAAGCAGGACCACCAAUCAUGUCCCAAACAUUUGUUGUAGCUAAGGAAGUUAUCUUUGCUGUAUUCAGCAAAGCUACGACUUUUGUUCUACUUGUGAAAGUAAUUGGGAAAGCUGCUGCUGUAGUUGUCUAGUUGAGGGAGUUGUGAAUACUAUUAUUGUUGUGAAAGUAUGGAAGCUACUGUUAUUGUUGUUUUUGUUGUAGCUGUGAAAGCUGCUGUUCUUACUACUAUAAUGGGUUUGUAUCUAUUGUUGGUGGUACUGGCCAUAUACAUGUGGUUUCAAGUGAAAGUUGAUAGCACCUUUAAAUCAAAUAUAAGUUUUAACGAUAAUCAUGGGGUAGGUUUACAAAGGGAUUUUUCCUUUU
rnacentral:lncRNA from 1 species